rnacentral:rRNA from 1 species
GCAUAUCAAUAAGCGGAGGAAAAGAAACUAACAAGGAUUCCCCUAGUAACGGCGAGUGAAGCGGGAACAGCUCAAAUUUUAAAUCUGGCUGCUUUGUAGUCCGAGUUGUAAUUUGAAGGAGUCUUGCCGCUGGCAAAACGAUGGCACAAGUCCUCUGGAACGGGGCAUCGUAGAGGGUGAGAAUCCCGUCUCUGGUCAUCACGCGCUGGCAUACGGCAGGCAUCCGAAGAGUCGAGUUGUUUGGGAUUGCAGCUCCAAAUGGGUGGUAAACUCCAUCUAAGGCUAAAUAUUGGCGAGAGACCGAUAGCGAACAAGUACCGUGAGGGGAAGAUGAAAAGAACUUUGAAAAGAGAGUAAAACAGUACGUGAAAUUGUUGAAAGGGAAACGAUUGAAGUCAGUCGUACCGACGAGAAAUCAACUUAUCGUGUGCGAACUUGUGGGCGUGCGUGAGUUUCGGCCUCGCUGUUUGCAUGUUUGUGCGCUUUCGGUGUACUUUUUCGUAUGGUAGGCCAACGUCAGUUUCGAUCAUCAUAAAAUGACCGGCGGAAUGUAGCUUCGACCUCGGUUGAAGUGUUAUAGCCUCUGGUAGAUGUGGUAAUUGGGACUGAGGAUUGCAACGAAUACCCUUUGGGCUAUCCGUCUGAUCUCUGAAAGUUGCUCAGGUGCCGAAAGCUUGCUUACGGUCAUCUAAGUUGACGGUCAAUAGGUUAGAACGUGAUUACAUUCGUUAAGGACGUUGACGUAAUGGCUUUAAACGAC